rnacentral:RNase_P_RNA from 1 species
ACGUACGGACAAACGCCGCACUUCCUCAAAUUCAGACACACUUUUACAAGUGUUACGCGCAUUGAGGGGGUAAGGUCGGAGGAACUUCUUCGUUGCAUGCUCGUGAGGAGCGGAGGACGAAAGUCCUGCCGGGUGUACCAGAAAUUCGAUCUCUUGGGUUCGUCCUUUGAGAUCUUGAAACGCACCCGAGAAGAUGUCUUUUAGUGCAAUGUGCGGCACCUGUGAAAACUCAGGCAACUCGAUUCCGACUAAUCUUGUCUGUAUGUCUGGUAUGAUU